AUGAUGGUUUUAAUGAUGAUCCUGCAUGUACUUCGUGUGUAUCUCAAAGGGGGAUUUAAAAAACCCCAUGAAUUAACUUGGGUCACAGGUGUGGUUUUGGCUGUUUUGACUGCAUCAUUUGGUGUAACUAGUUAUUCUUUGCCUUGGGAUCAAAUUGGCUAUUGGGCAGUCAAAAUUGUGACAGAUGUACCUGACGCCAUUCCGGUAAUAGGAUCACCUUUAGUGGAGUUAUUACGCGGAAGUGCUAGUGUGGGCCAAUCCACUUUGACUUGUUUUUAUAGUUAA
rnacentral:rRNA from 1 species